UGGGUAUUAUAUAUGAUUCACUGACCUCUCCUGGCUGGAAGGAAGGAGCAAAGGAAGGGGUGUCGAGCUUGGUCAUGCGGCCUUGCAUAUAAGGAUCACAAGAAAAGUAAAGAUUCUUGAGCAAAACAGCAUUUUGAGUGCCUUCUGGGAUCUUAAGCUUUAUAGAAGAAGUGAUAAUUUGCAUAUCAGACUCUUUAGGAUACCCAGUAACAUAGUUCUUCAAUACCACCUGCUUGUUGCUCACUUCUUCAGCCAUUGUUCUUCGUUCCGUAGCUUUUAAUUAGUUUUUGUUGCUCUGGAGAGGGCGCCUUAUAUAGGAUCGAAUAUGGCAAAGGAGGAAGGAGGAGCACGGCCGAAGCGUGAACAGUGAACUACUG
rnacentral:misc_RNA from 1 species